rnacentral:rRNA from 1 species
UACGAAGGGGGCUAGCGUUGCUCGGAAUUACUGGGCGUAAAGGGCGCGUAGGCGGACAGUUUAGUCAGAGGUGAAAGCCCAGGGCUCAACCUUGGAAUUGCCUUUGAUACUGGCUGUCUUGAGUUCGGGAGAGGUGAGUGGAAUGCCGAGUGUAGAGGUGAAAUUCGUAGAUAUUGGGAAGAACACCGGUGGCGAAGGCGGCGACCUGGUCCGAUACUGACGCUGAGGCGCGAAAGCGUGGGGAGCAAACAGG